UACGUAGGGUGCAAGCGUUGUCCGGAAUUAUUGGGCGUAAAGAGCUCGUAGGCGGUUUGUUACGUCGGCCGUGAAAACCUGGGGCUCAACCCCGGGCCGGCAGCCGAUACGGGCAGACUAGAAUUCGGUAGGGGAGACUGGAAUUCCUGGUGUAGCGGUGAAAUGCGCAGAUAUCAGGAGGAACACCGGUGGCGAAGGCGGGUCUCUGGGCCGAUAUUGACGCUGAGGAGCGAAAGCGUGGGGAGCGAACAGG
rnacentral:rRNA from 1 species